UACGUAGGGCGCAAGCGUUGUCCGGAAUUAUUGGGCGUAAAGAGCUCGUAGGCGGUUUGUCGCGUCUGCUGUGAAAGCCCGGGGCUCAACCCCGGGUCUGCAGUGGGUACGGGCAGACUAGAGUGCAGAGGGGGGAUGAAUUCGUGGUGUAGCGGUGAAAAUGCGCAGAUAUCAGGAGGAACACCGAUGGCGAGGCAGGUCUCUGGGCUGUUACUGACGCUGAGGAGCGAAAGCAUGGGGAGCGAACAGGAUUAGAUACCCGGGGUAGUCC
rnacentral:rRNA from 1 species